rnacentral:lncRNA from 12 species
GUACACAUUCCCUGACGGAUUACAUUGGCUGAAAUAUAUAAAGGAUUUGCAGCAUCAACAGGAUUGCCAAGGCUUCAUCAAAGAUUAUUCCAAACUGGUUGUUUCAUUUGCUUGUCUCCUGCCCAUGACUAAGAUGCAAGCUCUUUGUCAGUACGGAAGACGGCUUAUAUUGUACUUACCAUUUUUAAAAAUUGUGUAACACCUGGCAUAGUUAGGUACGUUAUAAACACCACUUGCUAAUUGGUUUGAAUGCAUAAAUACUUUAUU